rnacentral:rRNA from 1 species
GAUGAACGCUGGCGGCGUGCCUAAUACAUGCAAGUCGAGCGAACGGACGAGAAGCCUGCUUCUCUGAUGUUAGCGGCGGACGGGUGAGUAACACGUGGAUAACCUACCUAUAAGACUGGGAUAACUUCGGGAAACCGGAGCUAAUACCGGAUAAUAUUUUGAACCGCAUGGUUCAAAAGUGAAAGACGGUCUUGCUGUCACUUAUAGAUGGAUCCGCGCUGCAUUAGCUAGUUGGUAAGGUAACGGCUUACCAAGGCAACGAUGCAUAGCCGACCUGAGAGGGUGAUCGGCCACACUGGAACUGAGACACGGUCCAGACUCCUACGGGAGGCAGCAGUAGGGAAUCUUCCGCAAUGGGCGAAAGCCUGACGGAGCAACGCCGCGUGAGUGAUGAAGGUCUUCGGAUCGUAAAACUCCGUUAUUAGGGAAGAACAUAUGUGUAAGUAACUGUGCACAUCUUGACGGUACCUAAUCAGAAAGCCACGGCUAACUACGUG